GAAAAGAAACCAACAGGGAUUGCCCUAGUAACGGCGAGUGAAGCGGCAACAGCUCAAAUUUGAAAUCUGGCUUCGGCCCGAGUUGUAAUUUGCAGAGGAUGCUUUUGGCGCGGUGCCUUCCGAGUUCCCUGGAACGGGACGCCACAGAGGGUGAGAGCCCCGUAUGGUUGGACACCAAGCCUGUGUAAAGCUCCUUCGACGAGUCGAGUAGUUUGGGAAUGCUGCUCUAAAUGGGAGGUAUAUCUCUUCUAAAGCUAAAUACCGGCCAGAGACCGAUAGCGCACAAGUAGAGUGAUCGAAAGAUGAAAAGCACCUUGAAAAGGGGGUUAAAUAGUACGUGAAAUUGUUGAAAGGGAAGCGCUUGUGACCAGACUUGCGCCAGGCGGCUCAUCCGGCGUUCUCGCCGGUGCACUCCGCCUGGCUCAGGCCAGCAUCGGUUCUCGCGGGGGGAUAAGGGUGGCGGGAAUGUGGCUCCCUCCGGGGAGUGUUAUAGCCCGCUGCACGAUACCCUCGCGGGGACCGAGGUUCGCGCUCCGCAAGGAUGCUGGCGUAAUGGUCACCAGCGACCCGUCUUGAAACACGGACCAAGGAGUCGUCCAUUAGAGCGAGCGUUUGGGUGUAAAACCCGCACGCGUAAUGAAAGUGAACGUAGG
rnacentral:rRNA from 1 species